ACGGGUGAGUAAUAUAUCGGAACGUACCCUAGAGUGAGGGAUAACGCAGCGAAAGUUGCGCUAAUACCGCAUACGAUCUACGGAUGAAAGUGGGGGAUCGCAAGACCUCAUGCUCAUGGAGCGGCCGAUAUCUGAUUAGCUAGUUGGUAGGGUAAAAGCCUACCAAGGCUUCGAUCAGUAGCUGGUCUGAGAGGACGACCAGCCACACUGGAACUGAGACACGGUCCAGACUCCUACGGGAGGCAGCAGUGGGGAAUUUUGGACAAUGGGCGCAAGCCUGAUCCAGCAAUGCCGCGUGAGUGGAGAAGGCCUUCGGGUUGUAAAGCUCUUUUGUCAGGGAAGAAACGGUGGACUCUAAUACAGAUCACUAAUGACGGUACCUGAAGAAUAAGCACCGGCUAACUACGUGCCAGCAGCCGCGGUAAUACGUAGGGUGCAAGCGUUAAUCGGAAUUACUGGGCGUAAAGCGUGCGCAGGCGGUUGUGCAAGACAGAUGUGAAAUCCCCGGGCUCAACCUGGGAAUUGCAUUUGUGACUGCACGGCUAGAGUGUGUCAGAGGGGGGUAGAAUUCCACGUGUAGCA
rnacentral:rRNA from 1 species